rnacentral:rRNA from 1 species
AGUGAACGCUGGCGGUAGGCCUAACACAUGCAAGUCGAACGGCAGCACAGUAAGAGCUUGCUCUUACGGGUGGCGAGUGGCGGACGGGUGAGGAAUACAUCGGCAUCUACUUUUUCGUGGGGGAUAACGUAGGGAAACUUCCGCUAAUACCGCAUACGACCUACGGGUGAAAGCAGGGGAUCUUCGGACCUUGCGCGAUUGAAUGAGCCGAUGUCGGAUUAGCUAGUUGGCGGGGUAAAGGCCCACCAAGGCGACGAUCCGUAGCUGGUCUGAGAGGAUGAUCAGCCACACUGGAACUGAGACACGGUCCAGACUCCUACGGGAGGCAGCAGUGGGGAAUAUUGGACAAUGGGCGCAAGCCUGAUCCAGCCAUACCGCGUGGGUGAAGAAGGCCUUCGGGUUGUAAAGCCCUUUUGUUGGGAAAGAAAAGCAGCAGGUUAAUACCCCGCUGUUCUGACGGUACCCAAAGAAUAAGCACCGGCUAACUUCGUG